AUUCGGGCCUCUGGCCUCAGGGCUGCAGUAUGUUCUAUGACUUUUUGAUAAAGAAUUCUUGGUAUCAUUAAAUACCAUUUUGUGCUAUCGACGAGGGUGAAAUUGUGGUUUCGGUUACUUAGGAAGUAAACUGAUUGAUUAUAUCGGUUUGGUUGUCUUGAAUUUGUUAAUUAGUUGGAUAUAUUUUACUGCUGUGUUCGACGUUGAAUCUUUAGUGCGUGGACGAGUUGGGACUGCGCCAGACCUCGUCAAGGAGAACAACCGGCCGC